GACGAACGCUGGCGGCGUGCCUAAUACAUGCAAGUCGAACGCUUUUUCUUUCACCGGAGCUUGCUCCACCGAAAGAAAAAGAGUGGCGAACGGGUGAGUAACACGUGGGUAACCUGCCCAUCAGAAGGGGAUAACACUUGGAAACAGGUGCUAAUACCGUAUAACACUAUUUUCCGCAUGGAAGAAAGUUGAAAGGCGCUUUUGCGUCACUGAUGGAUGGACCCGCGGUGCAUUAGCUAGUUGGUGAGGUAACGGCUCACCAAGGCAACGAUGCAUAGCCGACCUGAGAGGGUGAUCGGCCACACUGGGACUGAGACACGGCCCAGACUCCUACGGGAGGCAGCAGUAGGGAGUCUUCGGCAAUGGACGAAAGUCUGACCGAGCAACGCCGCGUGAGUGAAGAAGGUUUUCGGAUCGUAAAACUCUGUUGUUAGAGAAGAACAAGGAUGAGAGUAGAACGUUCAUCCCUUGACGGUAUCUAACCAGAAAGCCACGGCUAACUACGUGCCAGCCGCCGCCGUAA
rnacentral:rRNA from 1 species